rnacentral:lncRNA from 1 species
AGGACUUGUCACAAAACCUGCAAGUGAUAAAACUACAUUAUGCUGAAUUUUAUGGCAUCCCCGCACAUUAAGAGUGGAUUAAAGAGUAUGUUGACACUGAUCAAAGGGUUGAAUAUAUAAUUGGUUUUACACCAUAUUCAUUAUUGCAGCAAAAUCAUUUUUUUCCCAAAAUUUGAAAUUAUCAGUUAAGUGAAAAAAAUCAACAUUUUUGCAGUUGUGUAAUAAGGUAUAAAAAAUUACACCUUACCAGACGAUAAAAGUUAAAAAAUUUGUAAUCUAACUAAAACGACAAAAAUAUAUAAUAAAAUGACAAAUCCAAUAUGAGAUGAGGAGGAAACAGGGUGAUGGGAGAAUGGAGUAUGAAGGUUGGGUUGAAUUACAGAUGAGAAUGGAGAUGAAAAAACAGUGAUGAGGGUAUUUUGGGUAUUUAAAAACAGGGUGUGUUCAAUUACUUUUUAGUGUAGAAAUAAUCAAGUAAAUUAGUUGACCUAACAAAAAAAAGUGAGCUUUUCACUCCAAAAAAAAUUAAAAAAUUCCAAGGUUAAGCCGUAAAGUUUUAAAUAUGAGUAGAUAUAUUGAAUUUGAUCUUUGCAGAAUUUUUAUAGGAAAAAUUAUUAGUAUUAACGUAAAAUACAAUCGAUUCCGACCUUGAUAAUGUAAUUGUGAAUGAGUUUAGAAAAGAAUAAUUGAUUUCAUCAACCAGAAAUAUCCAAGUUGAUUCAUAUUGAAGUGAUUUAAAUUCGACCAUAAAAUGAUAUGAAAUAUGAAAAAGGGGAUUUUAUUAAGAAAAUAAUAGAAUUUAAUUGUUACAAGAGACUAAGAAUAAGUGUUAUACCUUGAAUUUUGCAGAUCUCUUUAGCAGUAACUUCUUUUUGCUUGUAUCUCUCGUUUGGGACGAUGAUCCACUUCAUGACAAAAAAUUAGACUCAUUAAAAAUUUCUUUAAAAAAAAACAUAUAUGAAAAUUGAAAGGUAAGCAGAAGACCUGAUAUGCAGUUACAGUAGAAGUGAAAUCUGAUCAAGAAAAAUCAAACUUGUGCAGUGAGAUAUUAAAAGGUUGGAAAAUGGUUUUGAUAUUGGGCGAGAGAAAACAUACUGAGA